rnacentral:rRNA from 1 species
GAUGAACGCUGGCGGCGUGCCUAAUACAUGCAAGUCGAGCGAACGGACGAGAAGCUUGCUUCUCUGAUGUUAGCGGCGGACGGGUGAGUAACACGUGGAUAACCUACCUAUAAGACUGGGAUAACUUCGGGAAACCGUAGCUAAUACCGGAUAAUAUUUUGAACCGCAUGGUUCAAAAGUGAAAGACGGUCUUGCUGUCACUUAUAGAUGGAUCCGCGCUGCAUUAGCUAGUUGGUAAGGUAACGGCUUACCAAGGCAACGAUGCAUAGCCGACCUGAGAGGGUGAUCGGCCACACUGGAACUGAGACACGGUCCAGACUCCUACGGGAGGCAGCAGUAGGGAAUCUUCCGCAAUGGGCGAAAGCCUGACGGAGCAACGCCGCGUGAGUGAUGAAGGUCUUCGGCUCGUAAAACUCUGUUAUUAGGGAAGAACAUAUGUGUAAGUAACUGUGCACAUCUUGACGGUACCUAAUCAGAAAGCCACGGCUAACUACGUG